UGAAGAACGUAGCGAAAUGCGAUACUUGGUGUGAAUUGCAGAAUCCCGUGAACCAUCGAGUCUUUGAACGCAAGUUGCGCCCCAAGCCGUUAGGCCGAGGGCACGCCUGCCUGGGUGUCAC
rnacentral:rRNA from 1 species